rnacentral:rRNA from 1 species
AUUGAACGCUGGCGGCAGGCUUAACACAUGCAAGUCGAACGAGUGGCGGACGGGUGAGUAAUGCUUGGGAAACUGGCUUAUGGAGGGGGAUAACGACGGGAAACUGUCGCUAAUACCGCGUACUAUAGGAUGAGCCCAAGUGGGAUUAGGUAGGUGGUGGGGUAAUGGCCUACCAAGCCGACGAUCUCUAGCUGGUCUGAGAGGAUGACCAGCCACACCGGGACUGAGACACGGCCCGGACUCCUACGUGAGGAGGCAGUGGGGAAUAUUGCGAAAGGGGCGGAAGCCUGAUCCAGCCAUGCCGCGUGUCUGAAGAAGGCCUUCGGGUUGUAAAGUACUUUUGUCAGGGAAGCGGUACCUGAAGAAUAAGCACCGGCUAACUACGUGCCAGCAGCCGCGGUAAUAC